UCAAGUGAACAAGAGCAUGUGGUGGAUGCCUUGGCGAUGAUAGGCGAUGAAGGACGUGAUAGCCUGCGAAAAGCUCCGGUGAGUUGGCAAAUGAACUUUGACCCGGAGAUAUCCGAAUGGGGGAACCCGCCCGCAAGGGCAUUUGCUUCUGAAUACAUAGGAGGCAAAAGCGAACCAAGCGAACUGAAACAUCUAAGUAGCUUGAGGAAAAGACAUCAAUAGAGAUUCCGAAAGUAGUGGCGAGCGAAAUCGGAUUAGCUUUCCAGUGAUAGCGCAUACGCUAGCAAAAUGAGGUGGAAAACUCAGUCACAGCAGGUGAUAACCCUGUAUGCGAAAGCGAAUGCGUGGUACUAGACUGGUAAUAAGUAGGGCGGGACACGUGAAAUCCUGUCUGAAGAUGGGGGGACCAUCCUCCAAGGCUAAAUACUCGUUGUCGACCGAUAGUGAACCAGUACCGUGAGGGAAAGGCGAAAAGAACCCUGGUGAAGGGAGUGAAAUAGAACCUGAAACCGUGUGCAUACAAGCAGUCAGAGCAUAUGAAGAUAUGUGAUGGCGUACCUUUUGUAUAAUGGGUCAGCGAGUUACAUUCAGUGGCGAGGUUAACCGAAUAGGGGAGCCGUAGCGAAAGCGAGUCUUAAUAGGGCGAUAAGUCUCUGGGUGUAGACCCGAAACCGGGCGAUCUAUCCAUGGGCAGGUUGAAGGUUGAGUAACAUCAACUGGAGGACCGAACCCACGCAUGUUGAAAAAUGCGGGGAUGACCUGUGGAUAGGAGUGAAAGGCUAAACAAGCUCGGAGAUAGCUGGUUCUCCCCGAAAACUAUUGAGGUAGUGCCUUGUAGAUUGACUUACGGGGGUAGAGCACUGUUUCGGCUAGGGGGUCAUACCGACUUACCAACCCGAUGCAAACUCCGAAUACCGUAAAGUUUUACUACAGGAGACACACGGCGGGUGCUAACGUCCGUCGUGAAGAGGGAAACAACCCAGACCGCCAGCUAAGGUCCCGAAAUGACAGUUCAGUGGGAAACGAAGUGGGAAGGCUUAGACAGCUAGGAGGUUGGCUUAGAAGCAGCCAUCCUUUAAAGAAAGCGUAAUAGCUCACUAGUCGAGUCGUCCUGCGCGGAAGAUUUACCGGGGCUAAACUGUCUACCGAAGCUGCGGAUUUGCAUGCAAAUGCAAGUGGUAGGGGAGCGUUGUGUAAGCUGAUGAAGGUGUGUUGAGAAGCAUGCUGGAGGUAUCACAAGUGCGAAUGCUGACAUGAGUAACGAUAAUGCGGGUGAAAAACCCGCACACCGAAAACCCAAGGUUUCCUGCGCAACGCUAAUCGGCGCAGGGUGAGUCGGCCCCUAAGGCGAGGCGGAAACGCGUAGUCGAUGGGAAACAGGUUAAUAUUCCUGUACUGAUCAUAAUUGCGAUGGGGGGACGGAGAAAGCUAGGCCAGCACACUGUUGGAUGUGUGUUUAAGCGCGUAGGUUGGGGACUUAGGCAAAUCCGGGUUCCUAAGACUGAAACGUGAUGACGAGUUUCUACGGAAACGAAGUGGUUGAUGCUCUGCUUCCAGGAAAAGCCUCUAAGCUUCAGAUUAUGACAACCGUACCCCAAACCGACACAGGUGGGUAGGAAGAGAAUUCCAAGGUGCUUGAGAGAACUCGGGUAAAGGAACUCGGCAAAAUGAUACCGUAACUUCGGGAUAAGGUAUGCCUCUGAUGGUGAAUAGCUGUUGGAGGCCGCAGAGAAUAGGCCGCUGCGACUGUUUAUCAAAAACACAGCACUCUGCAAACACGCAAGUGGACGUAUAGGGUGUGACGCCUGCCCGGUGCCGGAAGGUUAAUUGAUGGGGUGCAAGCUCUUGAUCGAAGCCCCGGUAAACGGCGGCCGUAACUAUAACGGUCCUAAGGUAGCGAAAUUCCUUGUCGGGU
rnacentral:rRNA from 1 species